rnacentral:rRNA from 1 species
GAUGAACGCUGGCGGCAUGCCUAAUACAUGCAAGUCGAGCGAACAGACGAGGAGCUUGCUCCUCUGACGUUAGCGGCGGACGGGUGAGUAACACGUGGAUAACCUACCUAUAAGACUGGGAUAACUUCGGGAAACCGGAGCUAAUACCGGAUAAUAUAUUGAACCGCAUGGUUCAAUAGUGAAAGACGGUUUUGCUGUCACUUAUAGAUGGAUCCGCGCCGCAUUAGCUAGUUGGUAAGGUAACGGCUUACCAAGGCAACGAUGGGUAGCCGAACUGAGCGGGUGAUCGGCCACACUGGAACUGAGACACGGUCCAGACUCCUACGGGAGGCAGCAGUAGGGAAUCUUCCGCAAUGGGCGAAAGCCUGACGGAGCAACGCCGCGUGAGUGAUGAAGGUCUUCGGAUCGUAAAACUCUGUUAUUAGGGAAGAACAAAUGUGUAAGUAACUAUGCACGUCUUGACGGUACCUAAUCAGAAAGCCACGGCUAACUACGUG